GGAGUGAUGAUCUAUUCCUUGGUUAUAUGUAGGUGUUACUAUUAUUUUUACAAGGUGAUUUGGAAUGAGAUUUCUACCCUUCUUGUCUACUUUAAUCGUUGUUUAUUCAUUUUUUUAAUAUUUCUCUUAGUCCUCAGUAUUGCUUUCAAUAUUUGCAUACAGAGGUAACAGCCAGUCCUAUAGCUCAGUUGGUUAGAGCGCUACACUGAUAAUGUAGAGGUCGGCAGUUCAACUCUGCCUGGGACUACUGAUAUUUAGUUAAAAAGAUGAAAGUUUAUAAAGAUAGCUCUUUAUAACUUUUAAACUUUACAAACUUUCAAACUGAAAAAUCGGGGGAUUAGCUCAGUUGGCUUAGAGCACCUGCCUUGCACGCAGGGGGUCAAGGGUUCGAGUCCCUUAUUCUCCACAUAAAAGAGAUCUUUGACAUAUUGACACAAACAAAAGAAGUAGAGUAACGAAAAGAUAGCAGAAAACGAAUUUAAAAGAGACGAUUUCACAUAUAUUAUCGAUUACGAAAUACGAACAUAAAUAUAGUAACGAGC
rnacentral:tRNA from 1 species